UACAGAGGUCCCAAGCGUUGUUCGGAUUCACUGGGCGUAAAGGGUGCGUAGGCGGUCGGGUAAGUCUGAUGUGAAAUCUCACAGCUUAACUGUGAAACUGCAUUGGAUACUAUCCGGCUAGAGGAAUGGAGGGGAGACUGGAAUACUUGGUGUAGCAGCGAAAUGCGUAGAUAUCAAGUGGAACACCAGUGGCGAAGGCGAGUCUCUGGACAUUUCCUGACGCUGAGGCACGAAAGCCAGGGGAGCAAACGGG
rnacentral:rRNA from 1 species